rnacentral:lncRNA from 1 species
UUUGAUAUAACAGUUCCAGCAAUUUGAGAGGAAGAAUGAUGUUUUCAUUUACACUGAUAGAGAUGCCAAGAAAUCCAUUCCAUGAGCAUCUGUGUGAGAAUCAAAAGUCGGAACAAUAUGGGGUUUCUUCUGUCUGUUGAUGGUAGUCUCAGGCUCAGCAUUAAGAGGAGUAAAAGUUAUGGGUUAUCUCUGCUGCUCAUCCACAUUCUGUGAACCACGGAUCCUGUCAUGAACAUAAGCUUAUUUCUCAAUCUUCCCAACUACAUUGUUCAAACGCCUCUAGCAGGCUAAGCUGAAUGGGC